UACAGAGGUCUCAACCGUUGUUCGGAUUCAUUGGGCGUAAAGGGGUGCGUAGGCGGUCGCGCAAGUCGGAUGUGAAAUCUCGGGGCUCAACCCCGAAACUGCAUUCGAUACUGCCGUGCUUGAGGACUGGAGAGGAGACUGGAAUUUACGGUGUAGCGGUGAAAUGCGUAGAUAUCGUAAGGAAGACCAGUGGCGAAGGCGGGUCUCUGGACAGUUCCUACGUGAGGCACGAAGGCCAGGGGGAGCAAAACGGGG
rnacentral:rRNA from 1 species